rnacentral:rRNA from 1 species
AAAGGAAUAGACGGGGGCCCGCACAAGCAGUGGAGUAUGUGGUUUAAUUCGAAGCAACGCGAAGAACCUUACCAGGUCUUGACAUCCGGCUAACGAAGCGGAGACGCAUUAGGUGCCCUUCGGGGAAAGCCGAGACAGGUGGUGCAUGGUUGUCGUCAGCUCGUGUCGUGAGAUGUUGGGUUAAGUCCCGCAACGAGCGCAACCCUUACCUUUAGUUGCUACAUUGAGUUGAGCACUCUAGAGGGACUGCCGUUGACAAAACGGAGGAAGGCGGGGACGACGUCAAAUCAUCAUGCCCCUUAUGACCUGGGCAACACACGUACUACAAUGGCCGUGAACAGAGGGAAGCGAAGGGGCGACCCGGAGCAAAACCCCAAAAACGGUCUCAGUUCGGAUUGCAGGCUGCAACCCGCCUGCAUGAAGCCGGAAUUGCUAGUAAUCGCGAAUCAGCAUGUCGCGGUGAAUACGUUCCCGGGCCUUGUACACACCGCCCGU